AAAAUAGAAGAUUUGAUGUACACAAUCACACCCGAGGAGAUUCCUUUCCAACUGGGAUUGUCGAGAAUGGAUCUUAGGAAAAAAACUGAAAUCCAGCUUAUCUGCUGCUGACAAGUCAAUCAAUGCCAUGUCUAGGAAGUUGCAAAAGAAUUUAACGUCAGAGGAGCUGCUGCUUUCUUUGUGACCUUCAAUUUAACAUCAAAUUAUAGGAGGUUAUAUAAGAAUUUAAUAUAGUUUGUGCAUUCACAUCACUUGUGUCUUUUUUGCGGACACCCUUGGAUUCAUCAUCUGUUGAUGUUGCUGUCUUUUGUCUCUCACUAAUGGGAACCAAUUUCUCAAGCUACCUGCAGGAAGCAAACAGAGUUCUCAAGCCAUGGUUCACAUUU